GAACCUAUUCUAAACGUGUUCUGAAUAUUUAAUUUGCGUUGAAAAGCUAAAUCAAACGAUUUCCGUACGGAAUAAAUUAGUUUCGCACAAAAUGUGUCGGACAUUUUGAAUCUUUCAUUAUGGUAAAAAAUUAGAAUUUCUUAUGAAUCUUAAAUUAUGUAAUAAAUGGUUUAGAAAAGAUAAAAGAAAUUUGUUUUUAGUAUUAUACUGUGGCUAAUGAGGCAGCUAAAAAGUCCUUCCAGUCAGUUGCAACAACAAUUAAAGCAGCAGGAAACAACCAAGUACACAUGCAAGUGACAAUGAGGAUUGCAAAAGUUUUAAAUAUCAGAAACUGAAGAAGGAAUUGAUAAUUAGCAGAUAACAAAAAAGCGCAAAAGUACUGAUUAUACAACUCUUUUAAAGUUGAGGAAGAAUUUUAUGUGGUAUGUUAAUGCAAAAGGUACAAAUAUUGACAGUUAAACCAUCACCACCUCCACAGCCAUCUUAUCUCAAGCAUUCAAUUGCAUUCUAAGUUAUCUUUAUUCAAAUCAAGUGUGACUACUAUACCAAAAGACUGUAGAAUGGACCAAUCAACUAACCCAUCAGUACUUGCAAAGUCUUCUUUUCUGUAAGCCCGAAAUUUGAGUUCUAAAAUACCAUUAUCCACAUAACUACUAUAUCAAAGCACAAACUAAUGGAUUGAUCAAUGAAACUGUCGGUAUCUCCACAACUUUUCAAUUAAAUAGAAAGUUUCAAUCAAACAGGAUACUGAGUGUGCCUACUGCUCCUCAAGACAAUGAAUAAUGGGAGUUAUCAAACUUUAUAUAUAUAUAUAUACAUAUAA